rnacentral:rRNA from 2 species
UAUCGUUUAUUUGAUAGUACCUUACUACUUGGAUAACCGUGGUAAUUCUAGAGCUAAUACAUGCUGAAAACCCCAACUUCGGGAGGGGUGUAUAUAUUAGAUAAAAAACCAACGCCCUUCGGGGCUUCUUGGUGAUUCAUGAUAUCUUUACGGAUCGCAUGGCCUUGCGCCGGCGACGGUUCAUUCAAAUUUCUGCCCUAUCAACUUUCGAUGGUAAGGUAUUGGCUUACCAUGGUUUCAACGGGUAACGGGGAAUUAGGGUUCGAUUCCGGAGAGGGAGCCUGAGAAACGGCUACCACAUCCAAGGAAGGCAGCAGGCGCGCAAAUUACCCAAUCCCGACACGGGGAGGUAGUGACAAUAAAUACUGAUACAGGGCUCUUUUGGGUCUUGUAAUUGGAAUGAGUACAAUUUAAACCUCUUAACGAGGAACAAUUGGAGGGCAAGUCUGGUGCCAGCAGCCGCGGUAAUUCCAGCUCCAAUAGCGUAUAUUAAAGUUGUUGCAGUUAAAAAGCUCGUAGUUGAACCUUGGGUCUGGCUGGCAGGUCCGCCUCACCGCGUGUACUUGUCCGGCCGGGCCUUCCUUCUGGAGAACCUCAUGCCCUUCACUGGGCGUGUUGGGGACCAGGACUUUUACUUUGAAAAAAUUAGAGUGUUCAAAGCAGGCCUUUGCUCGAAUACGUUAGCAUGGAAUAAUAGAAUAGGACGUGCGGUCCUAUUUUGUUGGUUUCUAGGACCGCCGUAAUGAUUAAUAGGGACAGUCGGGGGCAUCAGUAUUCAAUUGUCAGAGGUGAAAUUCUUGGAUUUAUUGAAGACUAACUACUGCGAAAGCAUUUGCCAAGGAUGUUUUCAUUAAUCAGUGAACGAAAGUUAGGGGAUCGAAGACGAUCAGAUACCGUCGUAGUCUUAACCGUAAACUAUGCCGACUAGGGAUCGGGCGAUGUUCUUUUUCUGACUCGCUCGGCAC